UGUCUAGUAGGCGAAGGCUGGGAAAGCAAAGCGUGGUCUGUGUUGAUAGUGGAUUUGUGUGUAGACGAUCGACUAAUUUGAUGUACAGUGGACAGCUGAAUAAAAUGAGCGACUCUGCUACUCAAAGUGAUGUUUUCUUGGAAAUAAGAAAGAAACUACAGAGCUGUCUUUUAGUAUUAAGUGGCGCUUUGGCAAAAGAGCCAUCUGAUGUGGAAAUUUCAACACCACCACCAUCAUUGUUGCAAAUCAGAACUUCUGAUUUCUGCUGUAUCAUAGAACUGCCAGCAGAGGUCAGCAUUACACUUCCUCCAUCUAGAGAGCUGCCGAAGAUAGAGGAGGAUGGAUUGUACAUGAGACUUCACGUUCAAAAUAAUGAUAAUACAGAAGUCCUUCCAAGUCUGAUCAUGAGUUUGAAAGCACAGAAAAGUUAUGCACUUGCCUGCCAGUCCUGUGGGAAUGUAAUUGUGUUUGACAGGACAUUUCACCGGGUCCUCCCUUUGCCUAGUGGGAACUGGAAUGCACUUGUUGAGGAUUGGUGCUGCCAUCCUGAUCCCUUUGCCAACAAGAAAUUGCUUCCAAAGGAAGAAGACUGUUUGUUAGGAGAUACCUUUAUUCUGCUAAGUUGGCACAGUGUUGUAAAUGAGGCACUGCUAAAGAACUCAGAAAAAGCAGACAGCCAACAAAAGUUUCAUGAAAACAAAUUCCAGAAAUCAAAAAAAGUUGUUCAUGUGACUUGCCAGCAUUGUCGAAGAGUGCUUGGUGAAAGUGUUUCUUCAGAUACCGUAAAGCUCUAUAUAACUGAACUGAUAGUAAAAUCUCCCACAAACCUAACCAACCACUUUGACAUGGAAAACAGAUAUCAUUUUGUUGAGAAUGCUGUAGCUUGCCGUCUACUGGAAAUCUCCUCUGUUUAUAGCACUUUCCGCUUUUCAAUUCAGGGUCAUGAUGGAAAAAUAUCACUCUUGUUGUGGCUUCUAAAUACUGAUACACUUCUUGUUUCAUCUUCAAAGACAGCAACUGUUACUACUGAAUCAGAUUUAUUUACAAAUGAUUCCAUCACAAAGCACCAUUCACACAAAGCAAGAAAUGUGAUUAAAAUUCUAUACCUUCAUUGCCUAACAUCUACACAUCACAAUGUUAUUGAAGCUUGGGAAAAAGACAUAGGCGUGCAGCCUUUAACCUUGCCUAUAGAGACCUGUCAUGAGUUGAUUCACAUUUUGUCUACAAGCAAUGCAACUCUGCCUUCCUCAAUGCGAACACUCCGGACAUUCCAGUUCAUGGGAACCCUGAUCACCAAUGGCAACCACAGCUACACAUUUUCUCAGUAGAAUAUCUUCUAUUGUAAAGGGUCAUUGCUGUGUUUUGAACAUGUUCAGUCCAGGUGGCAUUUUUGAAAUUGCGAUGUAAACAAAAGUGAUAUUUCAACCUGUCCUGGAAAUCGACAGAAAGCUAAAUUUACCUUCAGCUGCAUACAUCAAAUAAAAACUAAAAGAAAAAAAAUUAAAAUGCCUGAAUUUACUGAGCCUUAUUAUUAAGUAAAACAAGGUGAACACCAGUUGCAUUUAUCAAGAUUAUUAUUUAUGUAA